CAACAUGUCCAUUUUAUUUGAGUUACACAAAUCAUCCUUAUAGUUUAGGUUAAUUGGCAUGUGUAGUCGAAAAAUAAAAAUUAUAAACCAAAAGCCAGCCCAAAAUCAAAUCUAACACUAAACCUAAAUCAAAUAAACCCAUCAAUGUCAUUCCAAUUUAUACGUACUAGCUUCCUUUGAAACCGGUGGUCUCGUCCAUCGUCACCGUCUUCCUCCCACAUCGAUUACUAGAAAAAAACACGAGAAUCAUGCCGACCUUCAAUGAAAUCGAGAAACUAACUAAUGUAUUGGAUCGAAUGAAUCAAGAAAUUGAUAUGUUCGUCACUCAGAUUAAAGGCGCAAAAGCCCUAAUUGUGAAAUGCAACUGGCGUUGAAGCCACCACCAGCUCCUUGAAGCCUCCAUCUUCGGUUUGUUUUUUCAAAGUUUUGGUUUGAUUCUUUAGAUAUACGGUUUGAUUUUCCAAAUCUUUGGUUCUUUCAUCGAUUUCGUUUCAUAUCCGCGGCCCCGUAACACCAUUCAAUCAGCGACCCCCACACCAUCUAUGGCAUUCACACUGACUUCUCCGAUUUCCACAUUAACUUCUCCGCCUCCGACUACAUCGCCCACAUCUCAGCCACUCUAGACACAACACACACACAUCUCUGCCUUAUGCUUUCACAAACUAAAAAACUCUGGCUCUUACAUCUCCGGCUCUAGCCUUCCCUUCCUCACCACGAAUGACGAACCCUUUGAUUAACAGAAAAUGAGAGCUGGUGGGUUUUUUUCAUUUGCUCUGUGAUUUCCAGAAAAUGUAAUGGAUCAGAUUUUUUUUCUUUCAUCUCGAGAUCAUUGUUAUUUUUAAAACCAAUUCUAGUUUGUUCCUGAUUUUGGUUUGCUAUUUGGAAUUGAUGAUUUUGUUCAUGAUUAUUUCAUAUUAUGAUCUUUGAUUAGGAAUUAUUCUAGAAUCUGAAUGUUUUCCAUGUUCGAUAUGAGAUAUUUUCUUUUGGAUUAGUGUUAAUUACAGUGUUUUAAAUAGAUAAGGCACUAUCAAACCUUUUCUUGGAAACUACUUUUCGAACUGAUGAAUUGGUGUUUUUGAUUUCGUACUCCAUUGAUCGAUUUUGUUUUUGAUUGCUAUUGAUUACUGUUCAUGAUCUGAUUCUUAGCAUAAGUUGAAUGGUUUCUGUUAUCAAUUUGGUAUCUACUUUUCGAAUCCAAGAUUUUCAUUUCCUUGAUCUUAUGUAAUCAUAUUUUGGUUAAACUCGGCUUUAGUAUCAGUUUGGUGCUUAUUACAGUUGAAGGAGAUGAAAAGGGUGUACUAGUGGUGGUUGCCUAAAGAUACGAAGAGGAAAGAGAGAGAAAUAAGAAAAUAGUUGUAGUGGCGGUGGUUUCUGGCGUAAAUGGUGGCGGUGGCAGCGGCGAUUUCCGUCGAUGACGGUGACGAUUGCGGUGGUUUCUGGCGAAGUAGCAGAGAGAAAGAGAGAGAAAGAAAGUUUUAAAUGUGUGGUACGGGUCAAGUUGAUAAAAUAUGAAGGUUGGUAGAUUAGGGUUAAAUAUUCUAAACCAGGGACCAUUCGUGUAAUUUAUUCUAAAAGUAAUGAUGUGUCAAUAUUUCAUUGGUUAUAGUAAAGUUACCCUAAUUAUUCA